UCGUAACAAGGUUUCCGUAGGUGAACCUGCGGAAGGAUCAUUAUUGAAUUUUGAAUGGGGUUGUAGCUGGCCUUUCAAAGGGCAUGUGCACGCCUCGCUUCAAUCCACUUACCCCUGUGAACACUCUGUAGGUCGGCUCAAGGGACAAAUCCUUAACGGGGUUUGUUUUGGGCCUUCCUAUGUUUUAUUACAAACGUUUAAAGUCUAAAGAAUGUACUCGCGUCUAACGCAUUAUAUACAACUUUCAGCAACGGAUCUCUUGGCUCUCGCAUCGAUGAAGAACGCAGCGAAAUGCGAUAAGUAAUGUGAAUUGCAGAAUUCAGUGAAUCAUCGAAUCUUUGAACGCACCUUGCGCUCCUUGGUAUUCCGAGGAGCAUGCCUGUUUGAGUGUCAUGGAAUUAUCAACUUGUUUAUCUUUGUAUGAACGCAGUUGGAUUUGGAGGCCAUUGCCGGAUUGUAAUGACUCGGCUCCUCUUGAAUGCAUUAGCUCGAACCUUUGCGGAUCAGCUUUUGGUGUGAUAAUUGUCUACGCCGCUAACUGAGACGCAUGAAUGGGAUUGGCUUACAGUCGUCCUUGAACGGACAAUUUAUUAUGACUUCUGACCUCAAAUCAGGUAGGAUUACCCGCUGAACUUAAGCAUAUCAAU
rnacentral:rRNA from 1 species